UACGUAGGGGGCUAGCGUUGUCCGGAAUCAUUGGGCGUAAAGCGCGCGUAGGCGGCCCGGUAAGUCCGCUGUGAAAGUCAAAGGCUCAACCUUUGAAUGUCAGCGGAUACUGCCGGGCUAGAGUCCGGAAGAGGCGAGUGGAAUUCCUGGUGUAGCGGUGAAAUGCGCAGAUAUCAGGAGGAACACCGAUGGCGAAGGCAGCUCGCUGGGACGGUACUGACGCUGAGACGCGAAAGCGUGGGGAGCAAACAGG
rnacentral:rRNA from 1 species